rnacentral:lncRNA from 1 species
AAAAUCAUCAAUCCCAAUCAUUGAAAAAAUAACAAACUAAAUCUUCACAGUAAUCUACCAUCAAUUAAAUAGAAAAUAUUACCAGAAAAACUUCUUUAACAUACUUUAUUUAUUAUGAUUAAUCAUGUUAAUUGUGGAAACUUGUGUGUUUUUUCUUCAAAAAGAAUGUCUGUCUAUUUUACAACCAGUCUUAAUUGAUUUAAAUAAUGUGGUUGCAAAAUUGAAAUUCAAUGUAACUGCCAGAGGUAUUGACCAGUGGGAUGGACAGUUGUUUUAAUUUUUGGGCAGAGGGGGUUACUGGUCUUUUUUUUCUAGUGUACAUGUUUCUAUAUAGAAUCAUAGAAGUUAUACAAUUGAAGUUUUAAGAAAAUAAUUAGAAUUCAAUAAUGUUCUUUGAUUCAGUUGCAGCAAGCAGAAAUCUCUUAACAAGAAGACCCUCACAUGAAGCCAAAUCAGAGGUAGAAAUUUUUAUCAACCUUAAAAUCCUAGAUCUGUGAAUUAAGUUAUGGACAACACUUGAACAUUAAAGUUUAUCAGUUAUACAAUAUGAUAAAAUGAAAGCACUAAGUUUUCAUGCACCAAUACUUUACAGCACUUUUAUAACAAUAAAUAGCUCUGCUUAUCAAUUUGUUUUUUUGAGAGUAAUCAAUUGAAAUCUUGUCAAAAUAUUGAACAAUAAUUUAAAUACCUAUUUUGUUAUUGCAAAACCCAAUUGAACUUUUAAUUGUUGAAACUUUGGUGUAUGUUAAAUUAAUGGAAUAUACCUUUUAACCAUAUAUUUGUGAAGACAAGGCACCUUGGAAAAUGGCAAAAAAUAAUCCUACACUCCAUAUAAAAUAAAGAAUAUUUUAACUCACAUUUUAAGACAUGUAAGGAACAUAUAUCUACAGCUGAAAUCCAUAUGAACUUAUUUUAUGAUUCUAUCUGCUAGUUUAAUUUUUGCUUUAUAGAUAACUUUUGCUAUAACAAUUGAUGCUCUUAAGGAAUUGAACCAUUGUUUUUUUCAUUCAUUGAAAUUAAGUGAAUUGCAU